rnacentral:rRNA from 1 species
GUCUGGUGCCAGCAGCCGCGGUAAUUCCAGCUCCAAUAGCGUAUAUUAAAGUUGUUGCAGUUAAAAAGCUCGUAGUUGAAUUUCUGUUGAAAAUAACCGGUCAGCCUUUGAGGUUGUAACCUGGUGUGUUUUCAGCAUUUUUCUGAUGACGUUUCUGUACUUUACUGUACGGAGCGGUUUCCAGAACUUUUACUUUGAGAAAAUUAAAGUGUUUCAAGCAGACUAACGUCUUGAAUACUGCAGCAUGGAAUAAUAAAAUAGGAUUUUAGUUCUAUUUUGUUGGUUUCUAGAACUGAAAUAAUGAUUAAUAGGGACAGUUGGGGGCAUUCGUAUUUAACUGUCAGAGGUGAAAUUCUUGGAUUUGUUAAAGACGAACUACUGCGAAAGCAUUUGCCAAAAAUGCUUUCAUUAAUCAAGAACGAAAGUUAGGGGAUCGAAGACGAUCAGAUACCGUCGUAGUCCUAACCAUAAACUAA